rnacentral:rRNA from 1 species
GGGACACGUGGUAUCCUGUCUGAAUAUGGGGGGACCAUCCUCCAAGGCUAAAUACUCCUGACUGACCGAUAGUGAACCAGUACCGUGAGGGAAAGGCGAAAAGAACCCCGGCGAGGGGAGUGAAAAAGAACCUGAAACCGUGUACGUACAAGCAGUGGGAGCCUCUUUAUGGGGUGACUGCGUACCUUUUGUAUAAUGGGUCAGCGACUUAUAUUCUGUAGCAAGGUUAACCGAAUAGGGGAGCCGAAGGGAAACCGAGUCUUAACUGGGCGUUAAGUUGCAGGGUAUAGACCCGAAACCCGGUGAUCUAGCCAUGGGCAGGUUGAAGGUUGGGUAACACUAACUGGAGGACCGAACCGACUAAUGUUGAAAAAUUAGCGGAUGACUUGUGGCUGGGGGUGAAAGGCCAAUCAAACCGGGAGAUAGCUGGUUCUCCCCGAAAGCUAUUUAGGUAGCGCCUCGUGAACUCAUCUCCGGGGGUAGAGCACUGUUUCGGCAAGGGGGUCAUCCCGACUUACCAACCCGAUGCAAACUGCGAAUACCGGAGAAUGUUAUCACGGGAGACACACGGCGGGUGCUAACGUCCGUCGUGAAGAGGGAAACAACCCAGACCGCCAGCUAAGGUCCCAAAGUCAUGGUUAAGUGGGAAACGAUGUGGGAAGGCCCAGACAGCCAGGAUGUUGGCUUAGAAGCAGCCAUCAUUUAAAGAAAGCGUAAUAGCUCACUGGUCGAGUCGGCCUGCGCGGAAGAUGUAACGGGGCUAAACCAUGCACCGAAGCUGCGGCAGCGACGCUUAUGCGUUGUUGGGUAGGGGAGCGUUCUGUAAGCCUGUGAAGGUGUGCUGUGAGGCAUGCUGGAGGUAUCAGAAGUGCGAAUGCUGACAUAAGUAACGAUAAAGCGGGUGAAAAGCCCGCUCGCCGGAAGACCAAGGGUUCCUGUCCAACGUUAAUCGGGGCAGGGUGAGUCGACCCCUAAGGCGAGGCCGAAAGGCGUAGUCGAUGGGAAACAGGUUAAUAUUCCUGUACUUGGUGUUACUGCGAAGGGGGGACGGAGAAGGCUAUGUUGGCCGGGCGACGGUUGUCCCGGUUUAAGCGUGUAGGCUGGUUUUCCAGGCAAAUCCGGAAAAUCAAGGCUGAGGCGUGAUGACGAGGCACUACGGUGCUGAAGCAACAAAUGCCCUGCUUCCAGGAAAAGCCUCUAAGCAUCAGGUAACAUCAAAUCGUACCCCAAACCGACACAGGUGGUCAGGUAGAGAAUACCAAGGCGCUUGAGAGAACUCGGGUGAAGGAACUAGGCAAAAUGGUGCCGUAACUUCGGGAGAAGGCACGCUGAUAUGUAGGUGAAGUCCCUCGCGGAUGGAGCUGAAAUCAGUCGAAGAUACCAGCUGGCUGCAACUGUUUAUUAAAAACACAGCACUGUGCAAACACGAAAGUGGACGUAUACGGUGUGACGCCUGCCCGGUGCCGGAAGGUUAAUUGAUGGGGUCAGCGCAAGCGAAGCUCUUGAUCGAAGCCCCGGUAAACGGCGGCCGUAACUAUAACGGUCCUAAGGUAGCGAAAUUCCUUGUCGGGUAAGUUCCGACCUGCACGAAUGGCGUAAUGAUGGCCAGGCUGUCUCCACCCGAGACUCAGUGAAAUUGAACUCGCUGUGAAGAUGCAGUGUACCCGCGGCAAGACGGAAAGACCCCGUGAACCUUUACUAUAGCUUGACACUGAACAUUGAGCCUUGAUGUGUAGGAUAGGUGGGAGGCUUAGAAGUGUGGACGCCAGUCUGCAUGGAGCCGACCUUGAAAUACCACCCUUUAAUGUUUGAUGUUCUAACGUUGACCCGUAAUCCGGGUUGCGGACAGUGUCUGGUGGGUAGUUUGACUGGGGCGGUCUCCUCCUAAAGAGUAACGGAGGAGCACGAAGGUUGGCUAAUCCUGGUCGGACAUCAGGAGGUUAGUGCAAUGGCAUAAGCCAGCUUGACUGCGAGCGUGACGGCGCGAGCAGGUGCGAAAGCAGGUCAUAGUGAUCCGGUGGUUCUGAAUGGAAGGGCCAUCGCUCAACGGAUAAAAGGUACUCCGGGGAUAACAGGCUGAUACCGCCCAAGAGUUCAUAUCGACGGCGGUGUUUGGCACCUCGAUGUCGGCUCAUCACAUCCUGGGGCUGAAGUAGGUCCCAAGGGUAUGGCUGUUCGCCAUUUAAAGUGGUACGCGAGCUGGGUUUAGAACGUCGUGAGACAGUUCGGUCCCUAUCUGCCGUGGGCGCUGGAGAACUGAGGGGGGCUGCUCCUAGUACGAGAGGACCGGAGUGGACGCAUCACUGGUGUUCGGGUUGUCAUGCCAAUGGCACUGCCCGGUAGCUAAAUGCGGAAGAGAUAAGUGCUGAAAGCAUCUAAGCACGAAACUUGCCCCGAGAUGAGUUCUCCCUGACCCUUUAAGGGUCCUGAAGGAACGUUGAAGACGACGACGUUGAUAGGCCGGGUGUGUAAGCGCAGCGAUGCGUUGAGCUAACCGGUACUAAUGAACCGUGAGGCUUAACCUUACAAC